CCCACGUGCGGGAGGCACCUCGGCCCUUUCCACGGCCUUCCCUGGGUGAGAAUUCCACGACAAAAUGGUUGGGAAGGAAAACCUCGGCUCGCUCUUGCGACCGAGAGGUGGCGACGCCGCUCAAGCUUCUCCCUCCGGCGACCUGGAACAGCGCCUCCGCCUCCCUCCGGUGAUGACUCGCCAAACGCUACACACCCCUGCAAGUUCCUCUGCUUCCCGGCGACAACGACGACGACGACCUAGCGGCCAUACAUCUGCUUCCACCAAGAUCCACUCUCCCCAAAUAUCUGUCCCGUCCGGCGACUAGGACGACCCGGCGUUUGUCUUCCUUCUCCUUCGGCCAAGUGGAAGCACGGAAACUUGAUUCUGUGCCGUUGGAUAAGGAUUGUGCGAUGUGAGAUGAAAAGAUGGACGAAAUGCAAAAAAGGACCCCAUAACCUUCCUGUACCUUAGUACAAAUCCUUGAUGGAAGAUGAGCCAUCCGUCCCUUUUCCUAUGGAGCUAUCCCGAUUCAAUUUUUCCCCAUCAACUAGGGUUAGGAGAUGGUCGCUUCGCCCAGCACGACGCCCUUGUUCCGCGCAGGGCCGUGGCCGGCGACCGCGUCUAAUUCCUUCUCUCAUCUCAGGCGGCCGGCGAUCGUGGCUAAUUCUUCUCCGGCCUUCCCUCAUCUCCGGCGGCUGGCCCAACACGCCAAUCAUCCUCUGAGCAUUCCCCAUCGGAUUGGUACUGGAUCUAAUAAGUCUCAAGUAACUAUGAAAUGCCAGAGCGAGGUGAGCAAGGCUCCACCUUUGGCUAUUUGUGACGCCCAGUCUGAUGCAGAAUGUGCCGUCCACACUAGACCAAGUGCCGAAAUUGUAUUUAUCACACCGCAAAAAUUGUAUAGUGCACCUUUCUGUGCUCAUCUUAUACUCCGGAGUGUGAUGAUGACAUCAGGCCAGCCAUAGGGAUGACUUUUAUGGAUUUGAAGGCAGCCAAGGAUUUCUAUGAAGCUUAUGCACAUCAUGUUGGUUUCUCAGUACGUGUGGGACAACACAAGACUGGCAACGGUGUCAUUACUCACAAUCGUUUCUACUUUGAUCGUGAAGGUUUCCACGAAGAGCGGAAAGGUAAGGAAAACUUAGUACAUGGCACUGGCAGUAAGAGGAAAUAUGAGAGGAAAAUCACUAGAUGUGGGUGUGAGGCUAAACUUGCGGUAAAACGUAAGAUUGAGAAUACGUUUGCUGGUGGCAGUAAAGACAUGUGAAGGUUUCAUAAACAAAGACUACUGCAGGAUGUUUGGAGUUGCAGUGGUGCACUGAUACGUUCUUCAGCUUGUACUCGAGUUAUGUCCGAUAUAUAAACGUGAGAUUUACUAUGACUGUUAAUGGCUAAUGAGUUAGUGAUGUGUCUAUGUUCUAACAAAACACCCUAGCAUAAUGCGGUUAACUACUGUACGUGCCUAUGUUGUAACAAAACUCCCUAGCAUAAUGUAGCUAUCAUGCCUUAACUACUGUACAUGUUGUUGAAGUAUGCAGUACUACAAGUGAAUACUGGGCUACUAAAAUUAGCUUCCUUCAAUUUUCUGUUGUCUCGUCUGUGGCAUUGCAUGUUAGUUGUUUUAGUUUCCUAAAUGCGAUUUUGCUGGUACUCUGCUAUUAGGAGACUAUUUAGAAUCAGCUUAUGUCAGUUCUGGUAUCCAUUGCAGCUACUUUUCCAUUUUAAAUCGAUGUGUAUGCAUCUCUGGCAUGCGUGGUGAAUCAUAGGCACAGCGCAUGGCUUACAGAUCCUACUUGCUGACAAAAAACUGGAAAUAAGUGGCAAGAGGCUAGCUGUGUUACUUGUAGGCCUGAGGGGUUCCAUGUCAAAUGUACUCUCUGGUUGCGGGCGUUGUUUUGCAAAUAGCACUGAGCAGUUACGAGUCAAUCUGGCCCAUACAAAUAGCAUCCAACAGUCUGUCCUCAGGUUUCCAGGAUUCCACUGAAUAUGUGGUUUCCAGGUGAUAUUGUCUCGACCUAUAUAUUAAUGACUACCACUCUGCCAUUAUUACUUAUCUGAAAUCUUGUUUCUCAAAUAUAUGACUGACAAGCAUGCAAGAUAGUAAAAUUCUGUUAAGUACCAGUUAUACUCUCGAGUCUCGACCGAUCGCUCCCUAGUAGUGCUUCGGUUUACAGAAUUUCGAUUACAGAGCCUUAUGCCUAUUUGGCUACUUGAAUUAUACGGUAAGAACUGAGUUGAAUAUUACUAAUGCUAGAAUGGACAAUGCAACUGAAUAAAUUUAGUGAGGACUGAAGAGUAGCUGAAGCUGGGAAGAGAAGAGAAAUAUUCAUCAACACAAAGAACUCAACUCUUUGCCUUUACUGAUUGAAGGAGUAAAUUACUGCCAUGGAGAAAACAUAAGGUUCCCUAACACUAGCCAAUGAAAAUGUUGAAAGAAGUUUAUAUAUAUAUAUAUAUAUAUAUAUAUAUAUAUAUAUAUAUAUAUAUAUAUAUAUUAAUGGAACUAAACGCCUAUUCUUGCUGAAUUCUACCGCAGUUAGCAUUUCCAAGGUUAAACCAUGAUUAGCAGACUUAAUUUAUCCUCGGUGUUUGUGUGACACAACUGUUAGAAAUAUGCCCUAGAGGCAAUAAUAAAUUGGUUAUUAUUA